rnacentral:rRNA from 1 species
GGCAACCUUACCAGGACAAGACAUGAGAAGGAUUGACAGACUGAUCGCUCUUUCUUGAUUUUAUGGGUGGUGGUGCAUGGCCGUUCUUAGUUCGUGGAGUAAUUUGUCUGGUUAAUUCCGUUAACGAACGAGACCUUAACUUGCUAAUUGGGAUAUGUAUUCUAUACAUAAGCCCUCUUAGAAGGACCAUGUGUACAUAACGCAAGGAAGCGUGAGGCAAUAA